rnacentral:sRNA from 1 species
CGGUGGCAGUGGCAGUGACUCGGAGCCUGACAGCCCAGCCUUUGAGGACAGCAAGGUUGGGCCCUGCCACGGUGCCCCCUUCCCCACUCCCAGCCAUAUCCUCUGAGCCUCAGGACAGGGCCGGGAAGACCCUAACAGAUCCUACCUCCCAUUUCAUAGACAGAAUAACUGAGGCCUGGAGCCAUGUGGGGUCCCACAGUAAGGUGGGCAGAAUCCUGACCCCCCCUUCCCAGCCCCGUGCUCUCUGGGGUCCCUCUGGUUCUGCCCUCACGACCCUGCCCACCCCCACCAGGCAAAGCCAGAGCAGCGGCCGUCUUCGCACAGCCGGGGCAUGCUGGACCGCUCCCGCCUGGCCCUGUGCACGCUCGUCUUCCUCUGCCUGUCCUGCAACCCCUUGGCCUCCUUGCUGGGGGCCCGGGGACUUCCCAGCCCCUCAGAUACCACCAGCGUCUACCAUAGCCCUGGGCGUAACGUGCUGGGCACCGAGAGCAGAGAUGGCCCUGGCUGGGCCCAGUGGCUGCUGCCCCCAGUGGUCUGGCUGCUCAAUGGGCUGCUGGUGCUGGUCUCCUUGGUGCUUCUCUUUGUCUACGGUGAGCCAGUCACACGGCCCCACUCAGGCCCCGCCGUGUACUUCUGGAGGCAUCGCAAGCAGGCUGACCUGGACCUGGCCCGGGGAGACUUUGCCCAGGCUGCCCAGCAGCUGUGGCUGGCCCUGCGGGCACUGGGCCGGCCCCUGCCCACCUCCCACCUUGACCUGGCUUGUAGCCUCCUCUGGAACCUCAUCCGUCACCUGCUGCAGCGUCUCUGGGUGGGCCGCUGGCUGGCAGGCCGGGCAGGGGGCCUGCAGCAGGACUGUGCUCUGCGGGUGGAUGCUUGCGCCAGCGCCCGAGACGCAGCCCUGGUCUACCAUAAGCUGCACCAGCUGCACACCAUGG